rnacentral:misc_RNA from 1 species
GAUGAAGAACGUAGCGAAAUGCGAUAAGUAAUGUGAAUUGCAGAAUUCAGUGAAUCAUCGAAUCUUUGAACGCACAUUGCGCCCGUCAGUAUUCUGGCGGGCAUGCCUGUUCGAGCGUCAUUACGCCCCUCAAGUCCCCUGUGGACUUGGUGUUGGGGAUCGGCGAGGCUGGUUUUCCCGCACAGCCGUCCCUUAAAUUAAUUGGCGGUCUCGCCGUGGCCCUCCUCUGCGCAGUAGUAAAACACUCGCAACAGGAGCCCGGCGCGGUCCACUGCCGUAAAACCCCCCAACUUUUUAUAGUUGACCUCGAAUCAGGUAGGACUACCCGCUGAACUUAAGCAUAUCAAUAAGCGGAGGA